rnacentral:sRNA from 1 species
ACCUUCUUCACCUUUCAUCAGUAAUGAGCAUCCACAUCGCUUAGCAUUUUCCCAUUUGUUCACUGCGUAUCUGAUUUUACCGUUGGCCAACCCAAACAUCAAACAUGAAAAGAUCAUACUCACAAAGUAGGGUAUCCACCAUUUUUGGCCACACAAACUGGAUGGCACACUCUGCCGGGCCUCUUAAAUUAUCCCCUCAGUGUUCAUCUGACAAAGGCGAAUAACUUGAAUCGGCGAGAAAUUGCUUCUGUUCUACCAUGCGAUCGGGUUCACCCGAUGUCCUACAACAAGUACUCGUUAAGUAGGGUUUCUUCACCGAGCAAAGUAUCAGGUGAAGUGGUGAGUGGAUUAAAGAAAUAGCAACUCCUUCUGUCACUUCUGUGCCCAUCUCAGCAACACUUGCCUAUUUAUGUCUCCCAAGGUUCUUUCCUCAACGAAAUGUUCACGAUUUCAUCCACUAGACCAUAUUUAGGUCGAACAGUUGACAUGAACGUACUAUGUACAGUACGACCAAAUUUGUGUUGUGGGUCUUAACAUAGAAGCAAAAGGGCAGGAAAAUGGUCAGCAAGAGUCAUGCGGUACCAGUCUGUGUGCUACGACAAUACGCCCUGGAACCUGCAAAUCACUUGUAUGGACAGUAGCCACUGUAAUGGAAACGAUGGGAAUAAAGUCUGUUGUCUGCGGGCUGCUGAAGUUGCUUCUGUGUGACAUCUACAGCAUGUGCCGCCCAUGAUGCUGGAAACGCUUGAUUCAUAAGGAUGCAGCCAGCAGCAGCCAGCAAAUCCGUUUGGUGUUGUUGUUGAGCGGGUUGCUUUGUGACUGGUGGUAAGACGAUGCGUCUUGACGCUCUGUUGUCGACGUAGAGCCGGAUAUGUAUUGCUU